rfam:Clostridium novyi NT, complete genome.
AUUAAAUAAUGUUCGUAAAUUCGUAUAUGAUCGAAAAUAUGGUUCGAUUGUUUCUACCAAAUGGCCUUAAACUAUUUGACUACGGGUGUUUAUAUUCAUGUA